AGUGAACGCUGGCGGUAGGCCUAACACAUGCAAGUCGAACGGCAGCACAGUAAGAGCUUGCUCUUACGGGUGGCGAGUGGCGGACGGGUGAGGAAUACAUCGGAAUCUACUUUUUCGUGGGGGAUAACGUAGGGAAACUUACGCUAAUACCGCAUACGACCUACGGGUGAAAGCAGGGGAUCUUCGGACCUUGCGCGAUUGAAUGAGCCGAUGUCGGAUUAGCUAGUUGGCGGGGUAAAGGCCCACCAAGGCGACGAUCCGUAGCUGGUCUGAGAGGAUGAUCAGCCACACUGGAACUGAGAAACGGUCCAGACUCCUACGGGAGGCAGCAGUGGGGAAUAUGGGACAAGGGGCGCAAGCCUGAUCCAGCCAUACCGCGUGGGUGAAGAAGGCCUUCGGGUGGUAAAGCCCUUUUGUUGGGAAAGAAAAGCAGCAGGUUAAUACCCCGCUGUUCUGACGGGACCCAAAGAAUAAGCACCGGCUAACUUCGG
rnacentral:rRNA from 1 species